CCCAAGGGUUGGGCUGUUCGCCCAUUAAAGUGGUACGCGAGCUGGGUUCAGAACGUCGUGAGACAGUUCGGUCCCUAUCCGUCGCAGGCGUAGGAAAUUUGAGAAGACCUGUCCUUAGUACGAGAGGACCGGGAUGGACGUACCUCUGGUGUACCAGUUGUUCUGCCAAGGGCAUGGCUGGGUAGCUAUGUACGGAAUGGAUAAGCGCUGAAAGCAUCUAAGCGCGAAGCCAACUUCAAGAUAAGAUUUCCCACCGAGGAAAUUUGAGAAGACCUGUCCUUAGUACGAGAGGACCGGGAUGGACGUACCUCUGGUGUACCAGUUGUUCUGCCAAGGGCAUGGCUGGGUAGCUAUGUACGGAAUGGAUAAGCGCUGAAAGCAUCUAAGCGCGAAGCCAACUUCAAGAUAAGAUUUCCCACCGCAAGGGUAAGACCCCAGAAAGACUAUCUGGUUGAUAGGUCGAAGGUGUAAGUGCAGCAAUGUAUUUAGCUUAUCGAUACUAAUAGGUCGAGGACUUGACCAAAUU
rnacentral:rRNA from 1 species